rnacentral:tRNA from 1 species
GACAUAGCUCAGCGGUAGAGCAGUAGACUGUUAAUCUAUUGGUCCCUGGUUCGAUCCCAGGU